rnacentral:rRNA from 1 species
AUGGUAAUCUCCGGCUCUGCGACAACAACUACCUUAGGUUAUGCAUUUAUCUCCUAUUCAAGCAGCAGGGAAAAUGUACACACUUCAACAAAUAUCAGAUAUGCCCACCUCAAAUUUUCAGUCCAGGGAGCCAAAACACAAGUCCACUUGGGCAAUACUAUGCCUUCCCCUUGCCAAUCUGCAACUAUGGACACCGACAAAAACAUAAAUAGGUACUCUUCAGCGAAAAGAAGCAUCCAAUUUACAGAAGAUGGAGCCACCAACAAAGAGGGUCAACAACAGGAACAUCUUCAGGAUACACAAGUGCAUCUCCAGGUUGUCAAAAAGCAUAAGCAAGAAUAA